AUUGUCAUGCUGGCAUCUGAGGAAGUGGAAGGCCACAAAGAGAAGCAACUGAGGAGUUGGGAUGUCUUCCAUCAUAACAAGAAGUAAAAGGAUGAAAACUGAAAAUCAACAGCUCUUCCUGGAUACUGAGAUAAAAUGUCAAGCCACUGCCCUACAAAGCAAAGGUGGACAAGUGGCUGCAGAGGUUCCCAGUUCCUGUGAGCAGAAACCUCAAUGUCAGCCCUAGCCAGGAUCCAAAUGUGUACCUGAUGAAUGGCUAGAGGCUCGAUGGAUAAAGAACACAGACGAGAUGCCUGGUAGUGUGACAACCACAGAAUGGCUAUGCAACAAUGAGACUAGAAUUUAACACAUGGGAACUGUGCUGGCAAGUGAAUGCAGGAAGGUUAAUGGUGAACACAAGAAAGCAGCCCAGACUGUCACUGUUUUGUCCUUCAUGGUGCUCAUUAGAGUGCGAGAAUCUAUGUCAGAGACCUGAGGACCUGAGAGGACAGCAUCAGUUCAAAAUCUGGAAACUGUCCCAAGCAUGUGUUAGGAUGCAAAUUAAUUUGAGCCUUGUUUCCCCUGCUCUUGCCACUGGGAGCACACUGGGUGGGAAGGUUAAUUCAGUGCAGCCUUAUCUCCUGUGGGCACUGCUGGGGAGCCUUGGAAUCAUUUUGUUUCUCAUCUCUGAAAAUGGAAUGUGCUUUGCCACACUGAUGAGUAGGGAGGAAAGAGGUCAAUCUGGAGAGAUUAGGAUGCCUAGCGAGGCUUCCUGUGCUGCAAGGGGUUCUUAAGAAUCCCAGAAGUGAGAGGCUGCAGCUAGUUUUAGUUCUGAGGAGCUGUGUCUGCAAGGCUUUCUGUGCAGCUGUAGGACAUUGCUGAAGUCCUCCUUCCCUGACCACUGCUUCCAAAGAGAACAUCCACCCAUGAGCAUGCAUCUGACACUGGAGACGGCCAAGAUCCAGUUCAGCCAAAGGGCAAUAAAAUGCACACACUUUUCAAGC
rnacentral:lncRNA from 1 species